UAAAAAGCAUGUUGGGAAGUUUCAUAUUUUUUUUCAGAUUUGCAUUGUAUAUAUUUCUCCCACAAUGUAGGGUUUAGUUCCCAAAGAUAUGCAUCUUGUAAAUCCCACAAAUAAAGUAUUUUAUGUAUAUAUAAAUGUUUACCUUUCACAAGUUUUAGGCAAUGCAUUAUUUACUCAUGAUUUGCCAUUUCAGAAAUGAGGAUUUUUAGUCUACAUAUGUUUACAUUUGUACAAACUGAUAUUGAUAGUAAAGGAGUCAAAAGUCAUUUUGGUGUCUAUUCUACAAAUAUCAUGCUGCCCACAUAAAUGCUCCAAAAUUAUCACAUACAGGAGUACCUUUAAAUACAACCUACUUUAGACGCUGCUCCAGCUUGGGACUUUAAUGCUAACAUCAUUAGAUGACAGCGUGAGCCAAAAAGACAAGCUAUUUUUGAUUCAUGAAAGUAUGUGCAGACAUGAAGGCAUGAAAAACAGAAAAGGGUGGGGGGACAUAAAGAAUGAAGGUUGUCAUCUAUGCCUGUUGUCUCUUCUGAUGUUGUUAUGGCAUUAUAAUAGAAAGCAGCAGUGUAAUUACAAGGGUUUCGUUUGCUCAAAACAUAAAUGGAAAAUGAAUUUAUAUGCUAACUUGUUUCACAAGCUUAUCAGGAUAACUAGUCAAUAAAAGCUUUUCUAGUUUAUUAAAACAAACCUAUAUUAUCAUUUGCACAUUUUCUUUUCUUCACCAUCAAAAACACAACUCAAACGUUUAUUGCUGAAAGAAAUCCAUGUGGCAGUGCAGUAAUUUGGUUCCCCCGAUCCCCUUUUUUGCUUCUUAAAAUGUGAACAUCAAGCUCAAAACAAAAGGGAAGGCAAAUCUUAUUUUAUAUUUUGCAUAUUAACAAAGGUCCAUCAUAGUAAGUUAAUGCAAAAGGUAGUAGAACAAACUGAACACUAAAAAACAACUGCCAACCCUUUUAAACUCGUUGCUUUUUACUUACAAAUAUUCUCCAAAAUGACAACUUCUAAAGAGACUUUGCAGUCAUCCACUGUAUGUGCAAUUUGCUUAAAAAGCAUUCAAAUCUCAUAAUAAAACCUGGGUUACAUAUGUCUUUUGUAAGUCAUGGAAAAUCUACACUCCACAAGCUAAGUUACUAAUGUAAAAGUCUUACUCUUAACCGUACAAUGCAUUUUUUAUCCAAUAAAAUCUGAAACCCUAGACAUAACUUUAUUAAGAAUGUAGAUAAGGAUUUGCAAGAAUGCACUUUUGAAUGUAUAUAAAUGAGACAUUUUGAAACAUUUCUUACAACUAAAAAAAAAAAAAAAAAAAAA